AGAGUUUGAUCAUGGCUCAGGACGAACGCUGGCGGCGUGCUUAACACAUGCAAGUCGAACGAAGCUUGAUUACGGAUUCUUCGGAAGAAGUAUGAUAUGACUGAGUGGCGGACGGGUGAGUAACGCGUGAGUAACCUGACUCUAAGAGGGGAAUAACAUUCUGAAAAGAAUGCUAAUACCGCAUAACAUAUAUUUAUCGCAUGGUAGAUAUAUCAAAGAUUUAUCGCUUAGAGAUGGACUCGCGUCCGAUUAGUUAGUUGGUGAGGUAACGGCUCACCAAGACCGCGAUCGGUAGCCGGACUGAGAGGUUGAACGGCCACAUUGGGACUGAGACACGGCCCAG
rnacentral:rRNA from 1 species